rnacentral:tRNA from 1 species
GCUCCUAUCGUCUAGCCCGGUCAAGGACGCGGCCCUCUCAAGGCCGAAACUCGGGUUCAAAUCCCGGUGGGAGCA